AUGAAGAUAUACUUUUUACUGAUAGCUUACUAUAUGCUAGAUACUGUUGCUAAACAUCUACAAUCUUAUUUAAUUCUCUCACAGUGUGGCCAUUUCCUCAGACCCACUUGGUUUGACUGGGAGAAGAGCAUUCCCAAAAGAUUGUGAGUAAAUGCAUUGGGGGAGUCCAACUUUUACAGUUCUACAGUAUGUCACACAUAGCAAGUCAGUCACUGGAGGAGGCAUCAGCGAUGCGAGGCCUUUGAUGCUUUCUGCCAUAAUGGAGGCCAGAGGCCAGAGUCAGUAUUUACACCUUGCAGCACAUUGACCAGCUGUUCCAGCAAAUCAGGUUUGGAAACUGAUACCCAGAAAGACAAAAAGUGAUUUUCCCAAACCCAUUAUCAUCAUCUCCAUUAUCAUCGUAGCAGCAAAUAUAGUGCUUGCCUAGUGACAACUACUGAUCUAGGCACUUUCCAUGUGUUAGGAGAAACCCAUGUAAUCUUUAGAACAACCAUGAGGUGGUUACUGUCAUCCCCAUCUUACAGAUGAAGCAGAAGCACAGAGAGGUCACACGGUGGCAAGUGGCUGGGAUUUGGACCUCAGCAGUCUGACUCCAGCAUAAUCUUUUUGACAAUGAUGCCAUACAC